ensembl:lncRNA
CGCCAGGGGGCGCUGUUGAGCCGCGUUCGGUUGCCGGAAGUGGCCGAAAGGCUCCGAAGUUUUCCGAAGUGAUUCGGGCGGCUCCGAAUGGAACCGAAGGGUUCCGAAGUGCUGCUCGCCCGCCGGAAGUGGUCCGAUGAGACCGGAAGUGGUGCUUAAAACCACCCGAUGUGGUCCCGAGGGAGCCGAAGGGUUCCGAACGGACCGGAAGUGCUUCGAAAAGGCCGGAAGUGGCGCCCGGACUUCGCGAAGUGUUCCGAAAGGACCCGAAGUGAUCCGAAGUGAGCGGAAGUGCCCUCAUCUGUUGCCGAACUGUUCCGAAGGGACCGGAAGUGCCCCGAUCGCAUCCCGAAUUGUUCCGAAGGGACCGGAAGUGACUCGAAUUGUUCCGAAGAGACCGGAAGUGCCCGCAUCUGUUGCCGAACUGUUCCGAAAGGACCGGAAGUGCCCCGAUCUCAUACCGAACUUUUCCGAAGGGACCGGAAGUGAGCCGAAUAUUUCCGAAAAGACCGGAAGUGCCCAGAACUGAUGCUGAAUUUCUCCGAAGCGACCGGAAGUGCGCCGAAUAUUAACGGAAAGACCGGAAGUGGUCCGAUCUGCCCCCGAACGGCUCCGAAGCGUUCCGAAUUGCUCCGAACUCACCGGAAGUGCUCCGACGGGACCGGAAGUGCAACGAAAGAACCGGAAGUGCCUCGAAACCCACCCGAAGUUUUCCGAAUGUCCCCGAAAGCUUCAGAGGGGACUGGAAGUUGCCCGAGCAGACCGGAAGUGGUCCGAUUUGCCCCCGAUCUGCUCCGAAGUGUACCGAAGUGCUCCCGGGAGACCGGAAGUGCUCCGAGAUGACCGGAAGUAACACCAACCCCCCUCCCGAACUUCUCCGACGUAGUCCGAAAAGACCGGAAGUGGUCCGAAACCAUCCGAACUAUUCCGAAUGGACCCGAAGUCUUCCGAGAAGACCGGAAGUGGUUUUAAGGACCGGAAGUACCCCCCACCCCCCUCCGAACCGCUCCGAAUUGUUGCGAAUGGACCGGAAGCGGGCCGAAAUGACCGGAAGUGCUCCGAAAUCCUCCGAAAUGUUCCGAAUAUUCCCGAAGUUCUCCUCAUUCCCCCCGGACGGUUGGUAUGUGUUCCGGAAUUGCUCUUAAAGAAACGGAAUGGUCCCCAUUUCCUCUCCGAAGUGUUCCGAAGCGCCUCAAAGUGUGACGAAGUGACCGGAAGUGCUUCGAAGUCACCCGAACCCCUCCGGACCGGAAGCGGCCCUAUCCUUCCCCCCCCCAUCCCGCCCUUAAAAUGCCCGGAUGUGAACCGAAGUGACCGGAAGUGCCUCCGUUUCCCGCCUUUCGGACCCCCCCACCGAACUGCUCCGAAGAGACCCGAAAUGCCUCGAAGCUCUGAGAAAUGCUCGGAUGUUACGCGGAGAGACCGGAAGUGCCGCCAUGUUUUCUCGCGAAUUGCCCCGAAGCGACCGGAAAUGCUCCGAAGUUCACCCGAAGUUUUCCGAAGUUUCCCGAGGCGACCGGAAUGGCCCGUAAAGGCGGGCGGAAGUGUCCCGAAAAGGCGGGCGGAAGUGGCCCGUAAAGGCGGGCGGAAGUGUCCCGAAAAGGCGGGCGGAAGUGGCUCGAAAAGGCGGGCGGAAAUGGCCCGAAAACGCGGGCGGAAGUGGUCCGAAAACGCGGGCGGAAGUGGCCCGAAAAGGCGGGCGGAAGUG